rnacentral:lncRNA from 1 species
UUAAUUAUUAGGUCUUUCCACUUUUCUGUGGAAAGACCUAUUGUUUUUCUUCUGAUUAUUAGGUCUUUCCACUUUUCUGUGGAAAGACCUAUUGUUUUUCUUCUGAUUAUUUUUUUUUUUUUUUUUCUUCCGCCUAAUUUUGUUCUUGCGAUAAACAUUUGUUUCGCAAUAUGUCGCUUUGAUAUUUGGUAUAUGAUAUCAAACAGUUUAUGUGCUUUUGAAAUUUACCAUGCGUAACCGAAUACUUUUCUUUGUAGGAGUUAUCUCCCCAAACACUGUUUUCCUUGUGCUCACAACUCCGUUGCAACCGUAAAAGAUAACGACAAAUUUAUUUUACAAAAUUG